GCGGCGGACGGGUGAGUAACGCGUGGGUAACCUGCCCUGUACACACGGAUAACAUACCGAAAGGUAUGCUAAUACGGGAUAACAUAAGAAAUUCGCAUGUUUUUCUUUAUCAAAGCUCCGGCGGUACAGGAUGGACCCGCGUCUGAUUAGCUAGUUGGUGAGGUAAUGGCUCACCAAGGCGACGAUCAGUAGCCGACCUGAGAGGGUGAUCGGCCACAUUGGAACUGAGACACGGUCCAAACUCCUACGGGAGGCAGCAUG
rnacentral:rRNA from 1 species